rnacentral:rRNA from 2 species
GAUUUCUGGUUCGGCGCACUUGGCCCUGCUCGGUUUACGGGUUAGCGUGCCGGUGUGCGCCAUCCAUCCUUCGAGAGAACACUCCUACCCUUUACUGGGCCGGCGGGUGCACUUUCUCGAUCUUUUACUUUGAAAAAAUUAGAGUGUUUAAAGCAGGCUUGCGCUAUGAAUACAUUAGCAUGGAAUAAUAAUUUAGGACUUUGGUCUUAUUUUGUUGGUUUCUAGGACUAAAGUAAUGAUUGAUAGGGACAGUUGGGGGUGCUAGUAUUCAGCGGCCAGAGGUGAAAUUCUUGGAUUCGCUGAAGACUAACUUAUGCGAAAGCAUU